GCUGAUAUGGCUCAGUUGGUAGAGCGCACCCUUGGUAAGGGUGAGGUCCCCAGUUCGACUCUGGGUAUCAGC
rnacentral:tRNA from 4 species